ensembl:lncRNA
CACAGUCCGAGCCUGCAGAGGCACCAGGCUUCCAGGCUCAGCAAAAGGAGGAUGUGGCCUCCGGCAGCUCCCCAAAGGCCUGGGACUUAGAGUCACUGCAGCACCAGCGCCUGGGACCUCAGCAACACUCAAUGUGAACAGAUGACCGGGUCGCCAGAGGGAGCUCUGUCCAUGCAGCAACUCCAUGCUGGGUCACAUUCUGGGAGCGGGCUGAUAGGGAGCUGACGCUUGCCCUCGUGUCUACUUUACUCUCACACCACGGCCUCCCUCACAAACUGCUGACGCCAGAGAGUCAUGAACCAGCUGUCAAGCAUGUUAACUACACACCAUUAAGUGCAAACCCUGGAUGAGGCCCCAGUAAAGUGGGGAUGUGACUCCUGACCCCUGCCUCAAGGAGCACAGACCACAGAGGAGAGACACACGAACAAUGGCAGUCCUCUGCCCUGUGGUACAGAGUGGUGAGGUGUUGGGAAAGCAGUCCUCAUGGCUCCAGUGAUCUCCACGACCUUCAGGUUCUCUCCUGGAUCCUCUGCCUGCCUUCAUCAGAUGGAGGAAAGAGGACGCUGAAAUGUCGUGCAGGAAGGUUUUUUGAGCCCAGUUUGGAAGUGGUGUCCACAAGCUGUUUGUCAUAGCUUGGUCACACUGGCUCAUGUGACGCUGUGGCCAGGCAGCCACUUUCUGGCAAUAAUUCUACACUAUGGAAGAGGAACAUUAGCCUUUGGUCAACAGCCAAGUGUUUUUGGACUUACACAGUGAGGAGGAGUGUAGUGGGGGCUUAGAAGCAAGAGAAAUGCAAGUGUGUGUGUGGUGGGGGGGCGGAAGGAGGGAAGGGAAAUGAUAGUAAAAGCCUCUCAGAAGAUUAAUAUUUAAACCAAGUUUUGGAAGAUCAUUAGGAUCUAUAUGAUAAAGAAUAGUGGGGAGAAACAGUUUAAGUAGAAGAAACAGCAUGUCCAAAAUCACUGUGGCAUACAUUUAUCCAUCUAGCAACAAAUCUCUGUGAAAUUGUCUUAAGGUGCCAAGGAUUAUUCCAAACGCUGGAAAUGGCACUAUACAAAAGACAGACAAGUUUCCCACUCUCAUGACCCUAUAUUUUAAUGAAGAGCAACAAACCAUAAAUAAACAAGCCACUAAGUCCGCAACUCAAAACAUCAGCGUGUCGCGUCAGGGAGCCGCAGCUAUU